GUCAUGGUUCAGUGGAACAGCAUCUGCUUUAAAUGUAGAAUGUCUCAGGUUCAAUUCCUGAUAUCACCA
rnacentral:tRNA from 1 species